AACAAGAAGAAAUAACUCAAAGUAUCCAAAUGUCUGCAACUCUGAGUCAGAACCUAGAGAAGCCGUAGGAUAAAAGGGAGUCACAGGCAUAGAACAAUUGGAAGUCUCAGGGAGGAAAGGACGCUUUGCCUCAGACCCAGACAAUUGGCACUCCCGCCCAUUGUACAAACUAUUGGGACUUCCCCCACUGAUUGCUGUGUGGAUGUUGGUGAAGAAUGAAACUAACGGGAAGACUGCAACCUAAAAUGAAACCUCAAAGAAUAAUUCAUUGAAAAAUGAGGCAGGACGCGGACUAUUUGGCAGAGAAUUUUCACGUCUUGUUAUUUCUAUCCACAAAGUCCUGUGAGAUUUUUCUCCUUAUCAUACAAAAUGUUCAAUGGAGUAACUGUAAACUUAAGGAGAAUUGAGACAUUUCAUAACUCUCCUAUUACUGCAGAAAUGUUAUUUUCCUCUAAAUUGGCUUCAUGGUGUUGUCCAGGGACUGGUUUGAGGUAUCAGAAAAAAGUUUAACUAGAGCUGGUAUCACCUACAGUGUAUAGCUAAGACAGAAUCAUUCACUGUAAAAGUGGUGACAAAUUUAAUGGAAGCCAGGUUGUGGAAGGAGUCAACUGUGCCUUAGCAGAGUAAUGCUAGUGUCAUCAUGUUUUUAGAAACAAUGUCAAGAUUCUCAGUAAAAGGAGAAAUAUGCAUUUUUUUGUAUGUGCGUAAAGCUAGAAUACAUUAUCUCCAGAAAAAUAGGAAGAAAUAAAAUAAAAAUUAUUAAA
rnacentral:lncRNA from 1 species